AGAAAAUGCCAUGUUUGAUCAUAUUUAUAAUUGUAUUUUACAAAAAAAAAGAAUUCUUUUGUUUAAUUCAUAUUUUUCCAACUUUUUCAAAUAAGGGGAGGCAACUCAAAUGCAAGGGCAGAUAAUUCAGAUAGUGUUACUUUUACAACAGAAUGUGUUAGGAAUUUACCCAUUUUUACAUGUAGCAAGAGUCCGGUGACCCCAUGUUUUCUUUUUCUUAUCUGAAAGCAUAAUAUUGGAGCUAUUUUCUCAUAUUUUAUCUCAAAAUUCUAUGGUGUGGUUUGCAUUUUAUGGCGGAAAAUUGGGUUUUCCAUGCAUAAUCUAUACAAAAUCUUGACAAUUUUGCACAACCUGUAGUGUGAAAAUCAGUCCGGUGACAUAUUCUUUUUAUUUAUGUUUUUAAACAAGCAGGAUAUGAACUACAUUUUGGCAAAUUAUUAAAAGGUUCUAUGGAUUAUUAUUUAGACCCCCCAUCUACCUUAAGUGAGUGCAAUUUGUUCAGUAGCUAUAGCUAGGUUUGAUAUUGUCUGGUUUAAACAUAAAAGGGAGAAAGGAACGGGGAAAGCAUCCAAGAGACAACAACCCGACUGAAGAGCAGUACAUAUAUUUGUCAUAAAAUUAAUAAUUUAACUUGUUUAGUAAAAGUUAACAUUUAUCCGUCUUGACCUUUCUGUUCAAACUGGACGUAUGACCUUCAACAGUGACCAAAGAAAAAAAAACGUAUAGUAAGUUCUCUCAAAAAAAAAAAGGCCUCAACAUAACAAAAUGUUUAAUUAUUCAAGGAGAAAACAGUCUGUUUAAUUUAUUUACCGCUGAUAUUCAAAAAUUAACUGGAAAACAUAAGCUUCAAUUUUCUUUCUUAUGUAGGUUAGCCAACUUCAAUCAUAAAAGAAACUGCACAAAUAACUAGGCUCUCGGUAAUACAUCAGUAUAGUAUGUUUCAAAAGCACGAAAGGGGAAGUUUAAAAUACAUAAAGUAAAAAGCAAUGUUACAACAUAAUAAAAACCAGUUGGGUUGUUUUUCGGUUUUUUUUUUUGUAUUGUGAGUUGGUCUUUCAAUUUACCCAUUCCAACGCAUGUUGAUAGCUAAAACUAUAUUCUAAAAACUUCAAUUUUAAAUUCCAUCAUGGUUAAUUGAAAAAAAAAACAUUUCAUUUCAACUUCGAUUUUUAAUUAAGACACUACGAUUUGUUAAGGCUUAAAUCGAUGAUCAGGUAGAAAAUCAAACUACUUUAACGUUCCAAAAUUAAAGGAGGUGUGAAUAACACGUCAGUUUGUAAGCAGC
rnacentral:lncRNA from 1 species